rnacentral:rRNA from 1 species
GAASGUGGUUAGCGUUAUUCGGAUUCACUGGGCAUAAAGCGCGCGUAGGCGGCUCUUCAAGUCGGUGGUGAAAGCCCGCAGCUCAACUGCGGAACAGCCUUCGAUACUGUCGAGCUUGAGUGCAGGAGGGGUGAUCGGAACUCCAGGUGUAGCGGUGAAAUGCGUAGAUAUCUGGAGGAACACCGGAGGCGAAGGCGGAUCACUGGACUGCCACUGACGCUGAGGCGCGAAAGCUAGGGGAGCAAACAGGAUUAGAUACCCUGGUAGUCCUAGCUGUAAACGAUGGGUACUAGGCAGCGGGGGCCCGAUGCUCUCGCUGUCGAAGCGAAUGUGCUAAGUACCCCGCCUGGAGAGUACGGCCGCAAGGCUG